rnacentral:rRNA from 1 species
UACGUAGGUGGCAAGCGUUGUCCGGAUUUACUGGGCGUAAAGAGCGCGCAGGCGGUCGUUCAAGUCGCGUGUGAAAGCCCCCGGCUCAACUGGGGAGGGUCACGCGAUACUGAUCGACUUGAAGGCAGGAGAGGGAAGUGGAAUUCCCGGUGUAGUGGUGAAAUGCGUAGAUAUCGGGAGGAACACCAGUGACGAAGGCGACUUCCUGGCCUGUUCUUGACGCUGAGGCGCGAAAGCUA